UACGGGGGGGGCAAGCGUUGUUCGGAAUUACUGGGCGUAAAGCGUGCGCAGGCGGUUCGUUAAGUCAGAUGUGAAAGCCCCGGGCUCAACCUGGGAACUGCAUUUGAAACUGGCGGGCUUGAGUGUGGCAGAGGGGGGUGGAAUUCCGCGUGUAGCAGUGAAAUGCGUAGAUAUGCGGAGGAACACCGAUGGCGAAGGCAAUCCCCUGGGCCUGCACUGACGCUCAUGCACGAAAGCGUGGGGAGCAAACAGG
rnacentral:rRNA from 1 species